ACAGAUAAGUGACGCCUCUCGUGUUGGCACAAAUUGCACAAUGAAAAUUUUGUGUGCUUGAUUUGCCUCAUGCCUCAAAGCACAACUUAAUACUCAAAGGAUACGUGUUUGGCCAUAUGUUUGGAAUUAGGGUAAAACAUGUUUUACAUGUUCUCGCAACGCAAUCGUCGACUUGGGGGAUGCAGCCAUAAUGAUUUCUACAGAUACGGGUUACGUUUCAAAGAAAGCCAUCGACAGAAUGGUUUUUCUUUCACUUAAUACAAAUUAAUACCGAAGGACCAGCUGGAAUUAGCCAAUACAAGUUUUUUUUUUCAAAGUUCCAUGUUAAAAAAGAUAUAAUAAAAAAGAUGUCUGAUUGUGAUUAUUAUUAGCACUUAAUUAUUGUGUCAUAAUUUUUAAGGGGGGCUUAUAAGGGUUGUUAUCCAGUGUUGCUUUUCCCCUGAAUUAAAGCACAGAACCCCUUGAAGAACUGCCGCUGACAUUUUCAUUUCAUUUGACAGUUUUUUCAUGGCCAAGCAAGACCAAGAUAAAUGUUAUCUUAUUUUAUGUUUGGAUACGGCUCUCCCUUUUUAAUAAACUUUUAAAACUUAGUAGCCCUAUUCUUUGGUAGAUCAGGCAUAUUUGAAAUGGGAUUUUCCUCAGUCUGUUUCCAUUCCUGUUCCCGUAAACAUCUAUAUUGUUGAAUUUUCGUUCUAUUUGAAUUUUGACUUUGCUUACUUUGCUUGGAAGAGUUGGAAAAAAUUGAAUAUUAUUUCACAAAACAGUCCGAAGGGUUGGAGCUCCAAAGAUUGGCUGAAAUAAAUGUGCGAUUUAAGCACCUACAAAAUAUAGUCCAUGCGGAAGAUGAAAUCAUGGCAUACUUUAUGCUGGAAAUUAAAACAAUUUGCAGCACAAGAAGCCCCUGCUGUGGACCCUGCUGCAGUCCGUGCUGCAGUCCGUGCUGCGGUCCGUGCUGCAGCCCCUGCUGUGGACCCUGCUUCGGUCCGUGCUGCAGCCCCUGCUGUGGACCCUGCUGCAGUCCGUGCCGCAGUCCGUGCUGCAGCCCCUGCUGCACUCCCUGCUGCUCCCCCUGCUCCUAUCCCUGCUGCUAUCCCUGUGGGGCCCCAGGCGCUGGAUUCUGGUUCAGCCAAAUUUAUUGAUGCAAACAGCUAUGCAAUAAAAUCAUAACAAGAAACUACAUGAAAUCCGUACAAUUAAGCAAAUAAAAUUAGUUUUUAACUAUUUCAUGGACAAUAGUGCCAAAGGGAAGGCUAAUUUGGGGGCUGGGUGCUUAAAAAAUCACUUAAGGAUCCCCUACACUGUUGGGAUUAUAGGAUUUUUCUCGCUGAACACGAAUCAGGCCUCCAAAAGUGCAAUUACAUUGAUACGCCAUUGUGUAUCGCCCAUUGUGUAAAAAAAUAACAAUUUGUGGUAUACGAGGGUAUCUGUAGUCCUUAUGUAAAAAUUGUAUAUAUGUAGAUAUAAGAACCACCCGAUCAAAACAAAGACAGAAACUAGGCAGCAAUGUAAGCUCCCGUUCGUUGCUCCUUGCUCCGCAUUUGCUGAGAGCGUGGCCUGAGAGAGUGAAAGAGCGAGAGACACUCGUGUCAGCAGAGUGUGGAUGGCAUUUUAAUGUUUUUGUUGCUGAGAGAGCAAAUGGGUUCCGUUUGCCGAGAAUCCGAACUCCCUGCUCUCGUGUUCUCGCAAUCUCGCAUUGUUGAUGCUGAGAGAGCAGACGAAAGACACGAUCGGGAAUAAAAAGACAGCCACAAAGCAACUGCGAGAGUGUAUGUAUGUGUGCGUGCAUUGCGGUCGGGAAGCAAAGCUCUCGCUUGCAGAUGAAAUGAAGAUCAAGAGAUAAGACAAUUUGACAGUGCGCUUGGAGGCGAAGUACAAGAAAAAUGCAAGAAAAGAAGAAGCCUAAUCUCUGACACGGUCCUAACAAGUUUGGAUAUGUAGUAAAUCGAAUGCUGGAAGGCGAUUUAACAAUUUGGGUUUCCGCAAAGCCCUACAUGCCCUCGAAGACGGUUUCCAUCAACAGAGUCCUCUCAAGUGACCCCGACCAAUGGAAAAAAACCCUGCUGACGAGACUUUUGGCAAAGGCUUUACAUAAGAGUACCCACACCUUACAGUGCUUUAGAAAUGGGGCAGCUGUCGUUGGGAUACAAACCCCCAUUUCCUCCCCCCCCACAAAUAUAAUUUUUCACUAAAAAAUAUACAUCACAGUAGGCUGUAUUCUGUAACCUUUGGAAUAUUCAGGCCCUUAGUUGUAAAACCAAACAAUUUUUCAUUCGUUUUCCGGCUCUCGUUCAGGCAACAACUAAAAAUUAUUUUCGGGAAAAAAAAAUUAUGAAAAUUAUUUGAGUAAAAAAAUUUGUGUGUAAAAAUGUUUACGCGAGUUAAAAAAUUUUGUUUGUGAAAAGUAUCACAAGUGUAAAAAUUAUUAUUCGUAAAUCCUAAUUCCAAUGAUGGCUAAAAGGAUGCAGCAAUAAUGAUUUCUACAGAUACGGGUUACGUUUCAAAGAAAGCCAUCGACAGAAUGGUUUUUCUUUCACUUAAUACAAAUUAAUACCGAAGGACCAGCUGGAAUUAGCCAAUACAAGUUUUUUUUUUCAAAGUUCCAUGUUAAAAAAGAUAUAAUAAAAAAGAUGUCUGAUUGUGAUUAUUAUUAGCACUUAAUUAUUGUGUCAUAAUUUUAAAGGGGGGCUUAUAAGGGUUGUUAUCCAGUGUUGCUUUUCCCCUGAAUUAAAGCACAGAACCCCUUGAAGAACUGCCGCUGACAUUUUCAUUUCAUUUGACAGUUUUUUCAUGGCCAAGCAAGACCAAGAUAAAUGUUAUCUUAUUUUAUGUUUGGAUACGGCUCUCCCUUUUUAAUAAACUUUUAAAACUUAGUAGCCCUAUUCUUUGGUAGAUCAGGCAUAUUUGAAAUGCGAUUUUCCUCAGUCUGUUUCCAUUCCUGUUCCCGUAAACAUCUAUAUUGUUGAAUUUUCGUUCUAUAGUUGGAAAAAAAAGAUUAUUUUUUCACAAAACAGUCCGAAGGGUUGGAGCUCCAAAGAUUGGCUGAAAUAAAUGUGCGAUUUAAGCACCUACAAAAUAUAGUCCAUGCGGAAGAUGAAAUCAUGGCAUACUUUAUGCUGAAAAUUAAAACAAUUUGCAGCACAAGAAGCCCCUGCUGUGGACCCUGCUGCAGUCCGUGCUGCAGUCCGUGCUGCAGUUCGUUCUGCAGCCCCUGCUGCACUCCCUGCUGCUCCCCCUGCUCCUAUCCCUGCUCCUAUCCCUGCUGCUAUCCCUGUGGGGCCCCAGGCGCUGGAUUCUGGUUCAGCCAAAUUUAUUGAUGCAAACAGCUAUGCAAUAAAAUCAUAACAAGAAACUACAUGAAAUCCGUACAAUUAAGCAAAUAAAAUUAGUUUUUAACUAUUUCAUGGACAAUAGUGCCAAAGGGAAGGCUAAUUUGGGGGCUGGGUGCUUAAAAAAUCACUUAAGGAUCCCCUUCACUGUUGGGAUUAUAGGAUUUUUCUCGCUGAACACGAAUCAGGCCUCCAAAAGUGCAAUUACAUUGAUACGCCAUUGUGUAUCGCCCAUUGUGUAAAAAAAUAACAAUUUGUGGUAUACGAGGGUAUCUGUAGUCCUUAUGUAAAAAUUGUAUAUAUGUAGAUAUAAGAACCACCCGAUCAAAACAAAGACAGAAACUAGGCAGCAAUGUAAGCUCCCGUUCGUUGCUCCUUGCUCCGCAUUUGCUGAGAGCGUGGCCUGAGAGAGUGAAAGAGCGAGAGACACUCGUGUCAGCAGAGUGUGGAUGGCAUUUUAAUGUUUUUGUUGCUGAGAGAGCAAAUGGGUUCCGUUUGCCGAGAAUCCGAACUCCCUGCUCUCGUGUUCUCGCAAUCUCGCAUUGUUGAUGCUGAGAGAGAAGACGAAAGACACGAUCGGGAAUAAAAAGACAGCCACAAAGCAACUGCGAGAGUGUAUGUAUGUGUGCGUGCAUUGCGGUCGGGAAGCAAAGCUCUCGCUUGCAGAUGAAAUGAAGAUCAAGAGAUAAGACAAUUUGACAGUGCGCUUGGAGGCGAAGUACAAGAAAAAUGCAAGAAAAGAAGAAGCCUAAUCUCUGACACGGUCCUAACAAGUUUGGAUAUGUAGUAAAUCGAAUGCUGGAAGGCGAUUUAACAAUUUGGGUUUCCGCAAAGCCCUACAUGCCCUCGAAGACGGUUUCCAUCAACAGAGGCCUCUCAAGUGACCCCGACCAAUGGAAAAAAACCCUGCUGACGAGACUUUUGGCAAAGGCUUUACAUAAGAGUACCCACACCUUACAGUGCUUUAGAAAUGGGGCAGCUGUCGUUAGGAUACAAACUCCCAUUUCCUCCCCCCCCACAAAUAUAAUUUUUCACUAAAACAUAUACAUCACAGUAGGCUGUAUUCUGUAACCUUUGGAAUAUUCAGGCCCUUAGUUGUAAAACCAAACAAAUUUUCAUUCGUUUUCCGGCUCUCGUUCAGGCAACAACUAAAAAUUAUUUUCGGGAAAAAAAAAUUAUGAAAAUUAUUUGAGUAAAAAAAUUUGUGUGUAAAAAUGUUUACGCGAGUUAAAAAAUUUUGUUUGUGAAAAGUAUCACAAGUGUAAAAAUUAUUAUUCGUAAAUCCUAAUUCCAAUGAUGGCUAAAAGUAUCUCCACACUCCAUACUCCAAACUACACAAUCCACACUUUAAGCUACCCAGUCCACACUCAUUGAACCGCAUUUCAAUCUACCAGACUCUUAUACACAAACUACACUUCGAUAAGCAUAUACAUAUGUAUAAGCAUACUUCUUAUACGCUAAUCUGCACACUUAUACUCUGAUCUGCACACUUAUCUACACUCUACGCCAAUCUGCGGAGUUAUUUACACUCUACGCCAAUCUGCGGAGUUAAUUACACUCUACGCCAAUCUGAAAUCUUAUUUACACUCUACGCCAAUCUGCAAAACUAACCUACACUCUACGCACUGGACGCACUUCAGCAAAGCAAAUGAAAAAUGGUCGAUUAACACAACUCAAUACUCAAAGGAUACGUGUUUGGCCAUAUGUUUGGAAUUAGGGUAAAACAUGUUUUACAUGUUCUCGCAACGCAAUCGUCUACUUGGGGGAUGCAGCAAUAAUGAUUUCUACAGAUACGGGUUACGUUUCAAAGAAAGCCAUCGACAGAAUGGUUUUUCUUUCACUUAAUACAAAUUAAUACCGAAGGACCAGCUGGAAUUAGCCAAUACAAGUUUUUUUUUUCAAAGUUCCAUGUUAAAAAUGUUUCAUUUGACAGUUUUUUCAUGGCCAAGCAAGACCAUGACCGGCAUAAC